rnacentral:rRNA from 1 species
AUGCGAACGAUGCUGCUCCGCCACCUCAGUCCCGCCUCCGCCCUACCCAAUCCCCGGCCCUCCUCCGCCUCCUCGCCGCAGCGGAUACCGGCGAGGGCCCGGCCACCGCCGCUGCAUUCCGCCCGCGCCACCGCGCUCCGGGCCCGGAGGACGCCCAUGGCGGCCGGGGAGACCGGCGCCUCCGUCUCCGUCUCCGCCGCCGAGGCCACCCAGGAGUUCAUGCCGGACGCCAGGGCGUACUGGGUGACGAGCGACCUCAUCGCCUGGAACGUCGGCGAGCAGGAGGCGGCGUCCGUCUGCCUGUACGCCAGCAGAGCCGCCGCAAUAGGCCUCUCUCCGUCGAAUGGCGGCAUCCAAGGCUACGACUCCAAAGUUGAGCUGCAACCGGAGAGCGCCGGGCUCCCAGAAACCGUGACCCAGAAGUUCCCUUUCAUCAGCAGUUACAGAGCGUUCAGAGUCCCGAGCUCUGUUGACGUCGCCAGCCUCGUGAAAUACCAACUGGUCGUCGCUUCUUUCGGUGCUGACGGGAAACACGUAGAUGUUACUGGACUGCAAUUACCCGGCGUGCUGGAUGACAUAUUCGCAUACACAGGACCGCUCGGUGCGGUUUUCAGUGAGGAAUCCGUGAGUCUGCACCUUUGGGCUCCUACAGCACAGGAUGUGAGUGUGUGCUUCUUUGAUGGUCCAGCGGGCCCUGCGCUGGAGACGGUUCAGCUUGAGGAGUCAAAUGGUGUUUGGAGUGUUACUGGGCCAAGAGAGUGGGAAAACCGGUAUUAUUUGUAUGAAGUCGACGUGUAUCAUCCAACUAAGGCGCAGGUUCUGAAAUGUUUAGCUGCUGACCCGUAUGCUAGAGGCCUUUCCGCAAAUGGCGCGCGGACCUGGUUGGUUGACAUUAACAAUGAAACACUGAAGCCAGCUUCCUGGGAUGAAUUGGCCGAUGAGAAGCCAAAACUUGAUUCCUUCUCUGACAUAACCAUCUACGAAUUGCACAUUCGUGAUUUUAGCGCCCACGAUGGCACAGUGGACAGUGACUCUCGUGGAGGAUUUCGUGCAUUUGCAUAUCAGGCCUCGGCAGGAAUGCAGCACCUACGGAAAUUGGCUGAUGCUGGUUUGACUCAUGUGCAUUUGUUGCCAAGCUUUCAUUUUGCUGGCGUUGACGACAUUAAGAGCAACUGGAAAUUUGUCGAUGAGUGUGAACUGGCAACAUUCCCUCCAGGAUCAGAUAGGCAACAAGCAGCAGUAGUAGCUAUUCAGGAAGAGGACCCUUAUAAUUGGGGGUAUAAUCCUGUACUCUGGGGGGUUCCAAAAGGAAGCUAUGCAAGUGACCCUGAUGGCCCGAGUCGCAUUAUUGAAUACCGUCAGAUGGUCCAGGCCCUCAAUCGCAUAGGCCUUCGUGUUGUCAUGGAUGUUGUAUACAAUCAUCUAGACUCAAGUGGCCCGUGCGGUAUCAGCUCAGUGCUUGACAAGAUCGUUCCUGGGUACUAUGUUAGAAGGGAUACCAAUGGCCAGAUUGAGAACAGUGCAGCUAUGAACAAUACAGCAAGUGAGCAUUUCAUGGUUGAUAGGUUAAUCGUGGAUGACCUUUUGAACUGGGCAGUAAACUACAAAAUUGAUGGGUUCAGAUUUGAUCUUAUGGGCCAUAUCAUGAAACACACCAUGAUGAGAGCAAAAUCUGCUCUUCAAAGCCUUACAAGGGAUGCACAUGGAGUUGAUGGUUCAAAAAUAUACUUGUAUGGUGAAGGAUGGGACUUCGCUGAAGUUGCACGCAAUCAACGUGGAAUAAAUGGAUCCCAGCUUAAUAUGAGUGGAACGGGGAUUGGUAGCUUCAAUGAUAGAAUCCGGGAUGCUGUUAAUGGGGGUAAUCCAUUUGGUAACCCACUACAGCAAGGCUUUAAUACUGGUCUGUUCUUAGAGCCGAAUGGGUUUUAUCAGGGCAAUGAAGCAGAUACCAGGCGCUCGCUCGCUACUUACGCUGACCAAAUACAGAUUGGACUAGCUGGUAAUCUGAGGGAUUAUGUACUAAUAACUCAUACUGGAGAAGCUAAGAAGGGAUCAGAAAUUCACACUUUCGAUGGAUUACCAGUUGGCUAUACUUCGUCCCCAAUAGAAAUAAUAAAUUAUGUUUCUGCUCAUGACAAUGAGACUCUGUUUGAUGUUAUCAGUGUAAAGACCCCAAUGAACCUUUCAGUUGAUGAGAGAUGCAGGAUAAAUCAUUUGGCCUCCAGCAUGAUGGCAUUAUCCCAGGGAAUACCCUUUUUCCAUGCUGGUGACGAGAUACUAAGAUCUAAGUCUAUUGAUCGAGAUUCGUAUAACUCUGGUGAUUGGUUUAACAAGCUUGAUUUUACCUAUGAAACAAACAAUUGGGGUGUUGGGCUUCCUCCAAGUGAAAAGAACGAAGAUAAUUGGCCCCUGAUGAAACCAAGAUUGGAAAAUCCAUCUUUCAAACCUGCAAAAGGACACAUUCUUGCUGCCCUAGACAGUUUUGUUGACAUCUUGAAGAUCAGAUACUCAUCUCCGCUUUUUCGUCUUAGUACAGCAAGUGACAUUAAGCAAAGGGUUCACUUUCACAACACAGGGCCCUCCUCAGUCCCAGGUGUUAUUGUCAUGGGCAUUGAAGAUGCACGAGAUGAGAGGCCCGAGAUGGCUCAGUUAGAUGCGAAUUUCUCUUAUGUUGUAACCGUCUUCAAUGUGUGUCCGCACGAAGUAUCCAUGGAUAUUCCAGCCCUCGCUUCAAUGCGUCUUGAAUUGCAUCCUGUGCAGGUGAAUUCAUCAGAUGCUUUGGUGGGGAAAUCUGUGUACGAGGCAGCGACGGGCAGGUUCACCGUGCCCAGAAGAACCGUGUCAGUCUUUGUCGAACCUCGGUGUUGA